GCCUUCGUGGUGCAACGGUAGCACACUCGGCCCGUAUUCGAGCGGUCCAGGUUCGAGUCCCGGCGAAGGCG
rnacentral:tRNA from 1 species